GUCCCAGUGGCCGAGUGGUUAAGGCGAUGCCCUGCUAUUUCCAAGAAAAAGCUGUAAGGCAUUGGGUUUUACCUUCGCAGGUUCGAAUCCUGUCUGUGACG
rnacentral:tRNA from 1 species